rnacentral:misc_RNA from 1 species
UCUGUUGGUGUCAACUGCAGAUAAACAAUUGAUAAUCUUCACUGAUCCAGCUGUAAGUUGAAUUUCUUUUUUUGACCUUAAUAUUCGGGAUUUUUAACCAGUUAAUGAUUCUUUGAUUUAUCAUCUGCAAUGUUUUUCAGUCCAGUUAGGACAAGUAUGUGCUAUGCAUCUCCAUGCAAAUAUUUGAUUUGAUUAUGUUCAUAGCUUGCUUUUGCUUGUAUUAAAUGGCCAUUGUCGAUUGAUCUUUUCUGGCUGAUAUAAAAUAGUAGUAUUCUUCAACAUGCCUGGCUAUCUUUUGUGUUCUUAAACUUGCUCAAAACAAAGUGUAGUUUUAUAGAAAAUGUUGUGAUGAUGGUAAUAACUAGUAAAAUAAUUCAUGAUGGUUAAGGAGCUGAUAUCGUGAUUGAAAUGCUUAUUAUGAAGUAAACCUUAUCAUGACUAGAUCCAAUUUCUUCUCGCAGUUGAGCUUGAAAGUGG